ACACCUGUCUGCCCAACAAAGUCAGGGAUCAGAGGUCAUGGCGGACAAGUUUAAACAUGUUCCCUGAUCCUUUAAAUAACUAAGCUUUUCCAGAUUUCAUGAGUAGUUCCUGAUGUUCUCUCUAGAGGAAGAACCUGUGAAUCCUUGAACUGGAUCCUCAGAGGCUCAGACUGGAUUUACUGUAAAAUUUCAGAAAGCAAAUCUUUUUGGGGGAUAUGUAAAAAAAUGUCUCUUGCAGGGUGGGCCUCCAGCAUGUUAACCAACAUUAUGUACCAUUACAUAAACAAAGAUAAAGUACCACAGCAGUAGUACUACAGUACUACAACAUCUAUGUAAACGUUUCACAAUAAAGAGAGAGAACAUCAUCUAAAAAUAAAGUCACAUGAUGUGGAAGCAUUUAAAGAAAACAUAAUUUUUCUAUGAAAAUAUUAAUAUUAAAUAUGAAAGUUAUCUGGCUAAUCGAACCAUCCUGAGGUGACUAUAAAUAAAAUCUGUUGAUUUAGCUGUGAUCGGACCUGAACCAGGAUGGAGAUCUGUCACUUAAAACUAACUUCAGCAUGGUUUCCUUUUUGCUUUUCACAGUGCUGAUGUGGAGGUUCUAAGAAAAGCAACAAUUUUUGUGUUUUUUUUAAUGUUCCUCAUACAUAUGACAUAUGUAUAUAUGUCGAUGGUUCCUCAGCAAUUCACUUUUCUGCUCAACUUAAGGGGUGGUCACAAUCUUUCAACAAUUAAAGAGAUAUUGUUUGGAUGUGGAUCGUUUGUGCUCUGCUUUGAUUGGGCAAUACUAUGUCAUUGAAUAUAUAUGUGUUGUUUACCGUGAUUAUUGGGGAGACAUCUGUAUGGUUAAUGGAUGCGUCCCCUUGGGAUCUCUGCCUAUGUGUUUCAUGUUUCUCCUGACAGAUUGUGAUCUUGUCUGGACCAAUGUUUUAAGCCUGUCUGACUGAGGGGGUCCGGAGAAGCUGAAUGAUGCUGGCGGCAGGUGGAAGCUCCUCCUCAGCCCUCCAGUUCCGCGGGGGAGCAGUGGCACUGCCGGUAAACCCAGCUGAUGUUCCGGCUCUGGAGAUAAAACUGGGAGCUCUGGUGGUUCUGCUGUCCAUCACUCUGGUGUUUGGAUUUGCUCCACUCUGCAUCGUCCGAGGGACGGGGUGCUGCAGCAUCAACUCAGACAACUACACUGACCUGUGCCAACAGAGGGAGGCUUUCAUAAAGGGUGAGGACAUCUGGAAAAGAGAGGAAGACAGGGGAGGAAAGAGGAAGAUAAAGCCCAACAGCAGGUGGAUGGACAAUGAGGAAGAGAGUCAACAAUCAAAAAAGCAAAAAUUUUAAACGGCAUCCUGUCCUUCAAAAGAGGCUGCAGACCAAAUGAUUGAAGACUUGAAGAAGGAUCUGAUGGCAAGACAAAAAGAUUUAGAGUCCCCAACCGAAUAUGAGGAGUUAUCAGAUGACGAGCUGCCAUCCAGGAACUGGAGCAAGGCACAAAGGCAAAUAAAGCCGUUAAUAGCCGAGAAUAAAAGGCUGAAAGAAGACAACUUUAAACACCCAAUAGAAGCAAUGAAAGAGCUUCCAGCAGUCGGGCAGAACUUACGAGACUUAUCUGAGCUAUUGUCAUUGAUCUCAAGCAGUGCAUCUGCCAGAUCAACACUCGUGCAAACACCUGUACGAACACCAGCGAGAUCAGAACUGCAACUUUCUGCACCCGCGUCUCCUCAGGUGGACUCUGCUGACUUGGUGUCUCUUGUGUCAGGAGAGUCAAAGUCCCCAGACAGAAGCUCAACUCUCUGCGGACUUCAAGUCACUCAGUUUACAUCGGAGACCUGGCAGUGCUCGUCUACGGCAGGGAAACGCUGUCCUGUGACCCCCCCCCCACCACCACCACCACCACCACCACCACUACCACACUUCCCACUGUAAGCCGCCGGCUUCAUUUAUGUUGAUUUUAAUUCCCUGUUUUCAUUGGUCUCUUUAUGUCUUGUUUUACCCAUUUGUUUUCUACUUUAAUGUUUUUACCUUUUUUUAUCCUCAUGUACCGUGUUCAGCGCCUUGGGCAACCAACCCCCACCCCACUUCACACUGGUUUACACACUUAUCUGUUAGCGCAGUCAACCGCUCAGCAGACUAUUAACAUUUGACUGUCAAAUUACCUAAAUAAACAUGAUGAAAUGCUAAAGACUGGCUUCUUCAAAAGUUUCUUAUAAGUUCCAAAGUGUGUAAACGGUCUUUCUGCCACCUAGCAUGACAGAACUAAAUCCUGGCUAUUCCAGCUGCAGAAAAUGGAUCUCCUGCUUCUUUCGACUAUUUUAACAGCCAAUCUAAAGACAACUAGGCUACAUCGGAGACCUGGCAGUCCUCGUCUACGGCAGGGAAACGCUGUCUUGUGACCCCCCACCCCCACCCCCACCACCACCACCACCACACUUCCCACUGGUUUACACACUUAUCUGUUAGCCGCCGGCUUCAUUUAUGUUGAUUUUAAUUCCCUGCUUUCAUUGGUCUCUUUAUGUCUUGUUUUACCCAUUUGUUUUCUACUUUAAUGUUUUUACCUUUUAUUUUCUCAUGUACCGUGUUCAGUAAAAAUGAACCACGCAUGCGGACCCCGCCCCCCUCCCCACCCCGCUGGCAGAUCAAAGGCAGUAGGCAUAAUUUCAGCUAGCCAAUCAGUUGGUAGUGUCGCCUCGGUCCCAGUCUGACCGCUGGGGAGGAGGUCUGAAAAAAGAGUUGCCUCGGCACCGAAAACGUGAAUCUGACCUGUGUGCGAAGCCAAAUUCUGGUGCCGUUCGGUAACUUUUGGGGCCGUGCCGACGCUACUGUGUAAGCGCCAUAACAAAGUUUCAUCCAUCCAUCCAUUUUUGGCCACUUAUCCAGGGUCAGGUUGCGGAGACAGUCGCCUAAACAGGGAGGCCAAGACUUUCCUCUCACCAGCCACUUGGGCCAGCUCUUUCGGGGGAAUUCCCAAAGCGUUCCCUUCCCAGCCGAAGAGUCUCUCCUUCGGCUACAUCACACAUUGCACCCAACAUCUUUGGCUCCUUUCACAAGUGGUGAGUCCAAGAAAUGUAUUGAACAGAAAGACAAGCUGAAUUUACGCCCUUCUCUGUUAUUGCAGCCAAACGUGUGAACUUACCUAAACAAAUACGAUGAAAUGCUAAAAACUGGUUUCUUCAUUAGCUUCCCUCCCACCCCCUCGCAAUUUACUAUAGUGGACAGCAAAGCAUGCCCACGAUGAAAAACAAGAUUAUAAACUUCUUUCGACUGUUUUAACAGCCCAUCUAAAGUGCUGUAAAUUAGCUAUGGCUAAAAGCAUCUUGCUACAAACAUGUGAACGUGGUUUUACAAUGUCCAUGUUCCUGUAUCUGUCUCUAAGUACAUGCCAUCAAUGAAUAAUUGUGUUUGAAGGACUGAUUUUAAAAUUUUCGAACCCAGGGUUUAGAAUGCCGGGCGUGAUGCAGAUUUAAGGUAAGUACUUCCUAUGACUUGUAUACCUUAAUUUCAUUGGUAUUCCUUGUAAGUCUAAGCGUGGUUCAUUUUUAACUUCACCCUUAGUUCUCCGAACAACGUUUGUUUGAUAAGUUGACAUGUUUUCUUCCUCUAUGUCAGUCAAUUCCUUUCUCAACGUAUUUUUCGCCGCUGAGUUUUGCUUGAGAGCUGAAAGUCUCGCUUUAUCUAACCGUUUUAACUUUGAGUCUACAUACUCUAUUCUGUCAAUCGCAGAGCAAGACUCCUCCUUAACAUCUAAUGGUAAAUGCCGGUAUUUUGCCAACAAAUAGUCUUGGAACUGAUUCUCUCUCUUUUUCUGUUCCUCUAGGUUUGACGAGCCUUCUUGAUUUGAACACUUCAGGGCUUCCAGUUUGUUAAUUUUUUGUUUAUUUUGUGAGAUAGCACCUAAAAUCCAGUCCUUCUUACGACUAGGCAUUUGGUUUAAUUUCAUAGGAGUUGCUCUUAACUCUAAGGUUGGUACUAAUUUAAUUUUUGAGAGACAGUCAUCUAAAAUCUUCUCCUCCAGGGCUUCGUUUUCAUGUUGUAAUUUGUAAUUUUGCAGGACUUUAUUUUCCUCUUCGAGUUCCCAAAGUAAAUGCCCCUGUUUACUUAAAUUACGCUUAUGGGCUAAAAUUGUAUCUUUGGCAUCUCUAUUUACUAAAAUUAAAUCAAGAUCAUAUUUUUCUAACUCCUCUUCAUAAGUGUCCAGUUGCUCUAAUUUCUCUGCAGCAGAACGCUCAGUCUCUCUUACAAAGCGCUCUUUCAAAUCUUUGAGUUUUUGUUCCACAUUAAAUAAGUUUAUUAACAAUCUCUCCCUUUCUUUCAGUGGUUCUAUAUGAGGAUGAUGUAGGUUUUCCAUGCUACCUGUUUGCUCUGAGGCGUGAACUGUGACUGAUCCGACGCUGGUCAAGGUAUAUGACGAUGUGCGGAUGGAGAGAAAGAAGAAAAAAGAGAUAUAAAGAAUCAGAACAGAGAUAGGAAAGCAACAGAAAAAUAAGUGCAGGCAGACAAGGCAAGUCAAUGACUACGGAGGAGAAUGUGGAGCAGAGAGGUCUACAUGAUGAAGAAGAGGGACAGAAACAGAGAGAUCCACAUGAUGAAGGAGAGAGAGAACAUAGAGGUCUACACAAAGAAGAGGGAGAAGAACAAAGAGGUCAACAUGAUAAAGAGGAAGAGGAACAGAGAAGUGCAGAGGAGAGGGCUGGUGAAAGACCUUAUUUAAAAGAUCCAUCUGAAUGGCCUUCACCACAUGAAAUUGGGGACACAUUGAGGCAGUACAUGGUUCAGAAUGGCCCACCGAAAUGUCCUGGUGGGCCAUAUCCAAGAUCAGAGAAGAGUAAACGGUGUUUUUCCAAAGCACACUGUUUUCGUUUACUGUCCAAUGGAGAGAAAGUGGAACGGGAUUGGUUACUGUACUCCAAAAGUACUAAAAGUCUAUUGUUUUGCUUGUAAGCUUUUUGGUGAAGCUAGAGUUGCUGACACACACCUUGUGACGGGUUAUAACAACUGGCAGUGUCUUUCAAAAACCCUGAUGCACCAUGAAACUAGUGGUUAUCACAUAAAUGCUUAUCUGUGUCACGAUCUGCUCCUGCCUCCCUCUGACUGUGACUCUCCCCUGCCUCCUGUUUAGUUUUUUGGUCUCACCUGCCUUUUGUUAACCUGCCCAUGUGUUCCUGAUUGUUUCCCUGUGUAUUUAUACCUCCCGUCUUGUAUGUGUCAGUGUCGGAUCAUUGUUGUUUGUCGUGUUGUUCUUGUUGUAUCCUGCCGUAUCCUGCUAUUAAAUCCAUUUUUAUGUUA